rnacentral:rRNA from 1 species
UACAGAGGGUGCGAGCGUUAAUCGGAAUCACUGGGCGUAAAGGGCGCGUAGGUGGCCCGUUAAGUGGCUGGUGAAAUCCCGCGGCUCAACUGCGGGGCUGCCGGUCAUACUGGCGAGCUAGAGCACGGUAGGGGCAGAUGGAAUUCCCGGUGUAGCGGUGGAAUGCGUAGAGAUCGGGAAGAAUACCAGUGGCGAAGGCGUUCUGCUGGGCCGUUGCUGACACUGAGGCGCGACAGCGUGGGGAGCAAACAGG